AUGUAUAAAUAAUAUGAUGCGAUUUUGCUGGUGCUUGCAGAUUUCUUCAGGGAUCGGAGACCGACCAGACCACCGUUGACAAGAUCAGGGAGGCCAUCAGGGAGCAGAAGGAGGUCACCGUCCAGCUAAUCAACUACACCAAGAGCGGGAAGAAGUUCUGGAACUUGUUUCACCUGCAGCCUAUGUGGGACCAGAAGGGGGAGCUUCAGUACUUUAUCGGCCUGCAACUUGAUGGAAGCAAUCAUGUUGAACCCCUCAGGAACC